rnacentral:rRNA from 1 species
AUAAUACGAACGGCGUAAAACACGACUAAUAAUACGUCCAAAUAUUAGGAACGAAACCAAGCUAGGCUGUAAAAAGCCAUAAGCCAUACUAACCACACCCUAAUAAUAAACAACUUCCACUCGUGAAAGCUAGGACACAAACUAAGAUUAGAUACCUUACUAUGCCCAGCCAUAACAUAACAAUCAAAUUACCAAUUGUUCGCCAAAUAACUACGAGUAAAGACUUAAAAUUUAAAAGACUUGACGGUGCCUCAAACCAACCUAGAGGAGCCUGUCUAAUAACCGAUACCCCACGAUUAACCCAACCCCCCCUAGCCUAACAGUCUAUAUACCGCCGUCGCCAGCCUACCUUGUGAAAGAAACAAAGUGAGCCAAAUAGUCAAACACUAAUACGACAGGUCGAGGUGUAACUUAUGGGCGGGAUAAAGAUGGGCUACAUUUUCUUAAUCAGAAAACACGAAUAUAUUCAUGAAAUAGAAACUUGAAGGAGGAUUUAGCAGUACAAUGGGAACAACAUACCCGACAGAAAACAACGCAAUGAGGUGCGUACACACCGCCCGUCAUCCCUGUUAAUACUAAUAAAAACAUAUAUAAA